rnacentral:rRNA from 1 species
GACGAACGCUGGCGGCGUGCUUAACACAUGCAAGUCGAACGCUGAAGCUUGGUGCUUGCACUGGGUGGAUGAGUGGCGAACGGGUGAGUAAUAAGUGAGUAACCUGCCCUUGACUCUGGGAUAAGCCUGGGAAACUGGGUCUAAUACUGGAUACGACAUGUCACCGCAUGGUGGUGUGUGGGAAGGGUUUUACUGGUUUUGGAUGGGCUCACGGCCUAUCAGCUUGUUGGUGGGGUAAUGGCUCACCAAGGCGACGACGGGUAGCCGGCCUGAGAGGGUGACCGGCCACACUGGGACUGAGACACGGCCCAGACUCCUACGGGAGGCAGCAGUGGGGAAUAUUGCACAAUGGGCGGAAGCCUGAUGCAGCGACGCCGCGUGAGGGAUGACGGCCUUCGGGUUGUAAACCUCUUUCAGCACGGAAGAAGCGAAAGUGACGGUACGUGCAGAAGAAGCGCCGGCUAACUACGUG